CCUCAGUCUGCGGCGCAGCGCGUGAGCGAUGGCAGUGGUUAUCCUUUUUAUUUUUUACCUGAAGCAAUCUGUCAAAAAAUCAAGGUUUGUGAAAAAAUAAAAAGAUAGGAACGGACAGCGCGGCCUGCU
rfam:Chryseobacterium bovis DSM 19482 genome assembly, contig: LX71DRAFT_scaffold00009.9